rnacentral:rRNA from 1 species
CCUACGGGCGGCAGCAGUAGGGAAUAUUGCUCAAUGGGGGAAACCCUGAAGCAGCAACGCCGCGUGGAGGAUGACGGUUUUCGGAUUGUAAACUCCUUUUGUUAGAGAAGAUAAUGACGGUAUCUAACGAAUAAGCACCGGCUAACUCCGUGCCAGCAGCCGCGGUAAUACGGCGGGUGGACGCGUUACUCGGAAUCACUGGGCGUAAAGGGCGCGUAGGUGGGAUAGCAAGUCAGAUGUGAAAUCCUAUGGCUUAACCAUAGAACUGCAUUUGAAACUGUUAUUCUAGAGUAUGGGAGAGGUAGGUGGAAUUCUUGGUGUAGGGGUAAAAUCCGUAGAGAUCAAGAGGAAUACUCAUUGCGAAGGCGACCUGCUAGAACAUAACUGACGCUGAUGCGCGAAAGCGUGGGGAGCAAACAGGAUUAGAUACCCGGGUAGUC